AACGAACGCUGGCGGCAUGCCUAACACAUGCAAGUCGAACGAGAUCUUCGGGUCUAGUGGCGCACGGGUGCGUAACGCGUGGGAAUCUGCCCUUUGGUUCGGAAUAACAGUUGGAAACGACUGCUAAUACCGGAUGAUGACGAAAGUCCAAAGAUUUAUCGCCAGAGGAUGAGCCCGCGUAGGAUUAGCUAGUUGGGGUGGUAAAGGCGCACCAAGGCGGCGAUCCUUAGCUGGUCUGAGAGGAUGAUCAGCCACACUGGGACUGAGACACGGCCCAGACUCCUACGGGAGGCAGCAGUGGGGAAUAUUGGACAAUGGGCGAAAGCCUGAUCCAGCAAUGCCGCGUGAGUGAUGAAGGCCUUAGGGUUGUAAAGCUCUUUUACCCGGGAUGAUAAUGACAGUACCGGGAGAAUAAGCUCCGGCUAACUCCGUGCCAGCAGCCGCGGUAA
rnacentral:rRNA from 1 species